rnacentral:rRNA from 1 species
GAUGAACGCUGGCGGCGUGCUUAACACAUGCAAGUCGAACGGUGAAGCCAAGCUUGCUUGGUGGAUCAGUGGCGAACGGGUGAGUAACACGUGAGCAACCUGCCCUGGACUCUGGGAUAAGCGCUGGAAACGGCGUCUAAUACUGGAUAUGAGACGUGAUCGCAUGGUCGUGUUUGGAAAGAUUUUUCGGUCUGGGAUGGGCUCGCGGCCUAUCAGCUUGUUGGUGAGGUAAUGGCUCACCAAGGCGUCGACGGGUAGCCGGCCUGAGAGGGUGACCGGCCACACUGGGACUGAGACACGGCCCAGACUCCUACGGGAGGCAGCAGUGGGGAAUAUUGCACAAUGGGCGGAGGCCUGAUGCAGCAACGCCGCGUGAGGGAUGACGGCCUUCGGGUUGUAAACCUCUUUUAGCAGGGAAGAAGCGAAAGUGACGGUACCUGCAGAAAAAGCGCCGGCUAACUACGUGCCAGCAGCCGCGGUAAUACGUAGGGCGCAAGCGUUAUCCGGAAUUAUUGGGCGUAAAGAGCUCGUAGGCGGUUUGUCGCGUCUGCUGUGAAAUCCCGAGGCUCAACCUCGGGCCUGCAGUGGGUACGGGCAGACUAGAGUGCGGUAGGGGAGAUUGGAAUUCCUGGUGUAGCGGUGGAAUGCGCAGAUAUCAGGAGGAACACCGAUGGCGAAGGCAGAUCUCUGGGCCGUAACUGACGCUGAGGAGCGAAAGGGUGGGGAGCAAACAGGCUUAGAUACCCUGGUAGUCCACCCCGUAAACGUUGGGAACUAGUUGUGGGGACCAUUCCACGGUUUCCGUGACGCAGCUAACGCAUUAAGUUCCCCGCCUGGGGAGUACGGCCGCAAGGCUAAAACUCAAAGGAAUUGACGGGGACCCGCACAAGCGGCGGAGCAUGCGGAUUAAUUCGAUGCAACGCGAAGAACCUUACCAAGGCUUGACAUAUACGAGAACGGGCCAGAAAUGGUCAACUCUUUGGACACUCGUAAACAGGUGGUGCAUGGUUGUCGUCAGCUCGUGUCGUGAGAUGUUGGGUUAAGUCCCGCAACGAGCGCAACCCUCGUUCUAUGUUGCCAGCACGUAAUGGUGGGAACUCAUGGGAUACUGCCGGGGUCAACUCGGAGGAAGGUGGGGAUGACGUCAAAUCAUCAUGCCCCUUAUGUCUUGGGCUUCACGCAUGCUACAAUGGCCGGUACAAAGGGCUGCAAUACCGUAAGGUGGAGCGAAUCCCAAAAAGCCGGUCCCAGUUCGGAUUGAGGUCUGCAACUCGACCUCAUGAAGUCGGAGUCGCUAGUAAUCGCAGAUCAGCAACGCUGCGGUGAAUACGUUCCCGGGUCU